UACGGGGGGGGCAAGCGUUGUUCGGAAUUACUGGGCGUAAAGGGCUCGUAGGCGGCCAACUAAGUCGGAUGUGAAAUCCCCAGGCUUAACCUGGGAACUGCGUCUGAUACUGGGUGGCUUGAAUCCGGGAGAGGGAUGCGGAAUUCCAGGUGUAGCGGUGAAAUGCGUAGAUAUCUGGAGGAACACCGGUGGCGAAGGCGGCAUCCUGGACCGGCAUUGACGCUGAGGCGCGAAAGCCAGGGGAGCAAACGGG
rnacentral:rRNA from 1 species